CACCCCCACCCCAUCCAUAAAAUAUUUGUCAACUUAUAUAUUUUAAGGUAAAAUAUUUUUUUAUGCAAGAUUAGGAUGGUUCUAAAACAUGUGUCAAGUUGGGCGGGUUGGGUUAUGACCUAUUGUUUAGCCCAUCUUAGCACGAAUACACUUUGGGCUGGGUUAGACAGUGACCCAUUUAUUACCUAACCCAUCUUAACCCGCCCAAAUUCAGCCCAACUCACCCAUUUGUCACCCCUAAUAUGCCAAUCUUUCUUUCUUGCUCGAUACUAACAUGCUUUUAUACGGGGGUUUUGUUCUUUUUGAAUUGAUUCCAUUGCUUGUGAUUGAUUUCAGUCCCCUUUUACUAAGGCUUAAGUGAUUUGUUACUGAGUUUUACAACUCAACCUUUUCCCUAUUUUUCUGACUAUGUUCAUUCAAGGUUUUUUGAAUUUCCGACUGUUUGACUAUUUUAUUUCCUUAUACUUUCAAACACGUGUACUAUAGUUUCCUACCUUAAAUAGAUUCUGUGCAUCUGCCCUUUAUUUUGUUACUCUGAAAGGUUUUCCCUUCCUUAAUUACCACUCCAAUUUGAAAUCAAAUCCCUUUGACUAAGGUAGAUUUUAUUUGAUUGACUGAGAAUUUAUUUCCUUGCCUUCUUGUCUACUCGUUUUGCACUAUAAAAGCUCACAACUCUCAUAAGUUCUGACACACACAAAAAGUUUCAAAAGCAGCUUUACACAAUCACUCGAACACAAUUCUCACAAAUUCUUUAUGCACCUUUACAAUACAUUACUACUACUACACUUUACUCUCCACUCUCUACUACUACUACUACUACUUUCUAUUUUCUCUUCUACUACUGAGUACUUUGCUCUUUUCUCUCCUGUUGUCUGAAUCUCCUGGAGUUACUAUAAACUCCCAAGUACUUGUUGAAGUUCCUUGAGUUUGUUCCUGUUGACUGCCUGGCUGUUUGUUUGUUGUUGCUGUUCUAAACUUGCAUCUGGUAUGUUCUUCUAGUUAAAUGACGCCCUCUUGGUUAUGUGUCCAAACUUCUCCUCUUCUACGCUUCUUUACUUGUGUGUUUACUCAUGGUUUCCUGCGUUAUGUGAUUAUAUUUAAGCAUGCUAUGCCCCUUUAUGCUUUGAAUUUGUUAUGUUUUUAAUCCCUCCCAUCUAUUCCCUUUUGUAUGUAGGUAUUGUCCUGAAUCAUGGCAACACUUUGAACUGUUGUAUGUGAUCCAGAACUAGACCUUCAUGAGUUUUUACUUAAUUUCUCUCCCAUUUCCUCUCCCCUUUAUGUGCUCAGCUUUAAUUUGGGUAUGCUGGUGUCCUAAUCACCAUUCAGACCUAAGUUUGACUCUCUAAGUUUGACUCUCUAAGAGUCAAACUUAUUUGUUUGAAUCUGAGCAAGGGGUUAGGGAUGUGCCAGUCUAUGCCAUGUCUGGGUAUGGCCACCUCUUGCUGAGGUUCCUCCCCCAAUUUGCACUUACUCAUAGUUCUUAAGUUCUACCCCCUUGGGUAAGCCAUGCUUAGUGGCCCUGAAGAUCCCUCUGAACUUGGAUGCAUAAGAGCUGGUAAUUCCACAUAUUGCACUACUCUGUUACAAUAUUCACUCUUCAGAGUGUAAGCAUUUCCUGGGCUCUUGAAGCUCCUUGGAACUUUGAAAUACUCUGAAUAAGAGAAGGCCUUGGAAUCUGGAAUCCGGAUUUGGUGAAACACAUGUAUUAGAUAUUAAGAUUGACUUAGACUUCUCAGAUCUAACUGUGGGCUAUGAUAUAUUUUGUUUACUUUCUUACUUCUGGUUCUGUAAUAAUAACUUUGUAAAAAGAACUCGGGAAGUAUAUUAGUAAAUGGUAUGGGAGGGGCUUAUAUUUGCUUGCAUAUGUUAAAGUGUAGAUACCAUGCCUAG
rnacentral:lncRNA from 1 species